rnacentral:rRNA from 1 species
ACGCUGAGCCGUCUUCGGGCGGUGGAUGAGUGGCGAACGGGUGAGUAACACGUGGGUAAUCUGCCCUGUACUCUGGGAUAAGCCUGGGAAACUGGGUCUAAUACCGGAUAGGACACGCUACCGCAUGGUGGUGUGUGGAAAGCUUCGGCGGUACAGGAUGAGCCCGCGGCCUAUCAGCUAGUUGGUGGGGUGAUGGCCUACCAAGGCGACGACGGGUAGCCGGCCUGAGAGGGUGACCGGCCACACUGGGACUGAGACACGGCCCAGACUCCUACGGGAGGCAGCAGUGGGGAAUAUUGCACAAUGGGCGGAAGCCUGAUGCAGCGACGCCGCGUGGGGGAUGACGGCCUUCGGGUUGUAAACCCCUUUCGCCCGGGACGAAGCGAGAGUGACGGUACCGGGAGAAGAAGCACCGGCCAACUACGUGCCAGCAGCCGCGGUAAUACGUAGGGUGCAAGCGUUGUCCGGAAUUAUUGGGCGUAAAGAGCUCGUAGGCGGUGUGUCGCGUCUGCCGUGAAAACCUGCGGCUUAACCGUGGGCGUGCGGUGGAUACGGGCACACUUGAGUUCGGUAGGGGAGACUGGAAUUCCUGGUGUAGCGGUGGAAUGCGCAGAUAUCAGGAGGAACACCAGUGGCGAAGGCGGGUCUCUGGGCCGAAACUGACGCUGAGGAGCGAAAGCGUGGGGAGCGAACAGGAUUAGAUACCCUGGUAGUCCACGCCGUAAACGGUGGGCGCUAGGUGUGGGAUGCUGUUCACGUGUCCCGUGCCGUAGCUAACGC